rfam:Tupaia chinensis contig117079, whole genome shotgun sequence.
CUGCAGCCAAUCAAGCCACUUGCUCAUUUCCCCUACAGGGAUAUAGUGUGCAGUAUCUGUGACCAGAAGCCUCCUGAGUACUGUUUAUAGCUUGCUGCUUGUGAGGGUCAUCCUGAGAGGCCCUGGAGACAGCC